UGGCCCGGGGAGAGCACGAAAUCGAUGGUGGGCGGCUGCGCGGCGGCCGCGUUGGUGAGGAUGCCCGGCCACACGGUGUAGCUGCAGUUGUUCGUCCGGUGAGUGUUGUCGGCCGUGCUCUCAAUUGUCCACUGAAUACAGAUUACCAUAAGCUAUACUAAUAGUAACCGAAAAUUUAGCAGCCCCAAUAUUGAGCAAGAAAUAUUUACAUUGCGAGUGUCAACUGCAGGAUGCUGAGCACAGGACGGCUGCAUCCUCCUCGCUCUCUUGGUUGUGUCGUGACUAGGCUAGAUGAGUGUGUUAGCUGAUGGGUGCGCGUGAGCGCUAGGUCUAUGUGUGUGCCGGUGCUUGAUGCAUGGUGGGUGUGGGUACAGGUUGGUGUCCGUGCUCUAGAGUGGCCAAAUCUAGGCGAUAUCUUCUCCCUCUACCUCUCUCAUGCACGUCCCUCCUCAGCUCUUGGACAGACCAUCGAAGAUGCUCUGGCAUAUAGCUGACUACAAUGGCCAUAUGGUUGGUGAGGAUGCGGCAGGCUUCGAGGCGGCCACGACGGACAUGCCCGAGCCGCUGUUCCACUGGUACGGUGUGUGCCCGAAGUGGUAUCUUGAUCUCUCUUUGCUGUGCAGAAUACCCGUGCUUUCAUGUUGCCGUACUGUCCUACCCGGCCCACCGAGAUCAUCUUGCGCAGGGAGAAAUGUUUGUUUUUUGCGAGGUGCAGGGAGAAAAUGUUUACUUCCUGCUUAGUUGAGUGUCAAAGAUGUUGUGCUGCACUGCAAUGGUGCAUGGAUUUGUUGGUUUGUGAUUCGCUUCUGCUGUUCGCAUGCUUUUGGAGCCAAGCGGUCUUCUGCAUGGGAUUAGUUGUGAUGUGACUACGUGCAUGCCCUCUUGCAUGCGAUUUUUUUAACGACUGUUCCCCCGGCCGCUUUGCAUGAACUUCUUUUUUUUUGCAUUUGUGGCCACUACUGUGUUUGGUUGGGUAUACCAUUGAUGUGUCCCGUUCUGGUACUUUUUUGUCCUGUUGUGAGUGUCGUGCCGGUGUUUUCCUGUGUUUACCGCCGAGCCAUCCC
rnacentral:lncRNA from 1 species